UUUCAAGAGGUAUCAGACCCACAGUAUUAUAAAGAAGAAUAAGAGUCAAAAUGAUCAGAAGGUCCUCAUAGGGCUAUGUGCCAUCAAUGAGCCCACUUCAGAUCCUCUGUCCAUCCCCCUCUCUCUCUCUGCCCCUCCCUUCCUCCCUCUCUUUCCCUGUUAACAUCUUUUUUAAAUGACCAGAAGGUAUUGGGGCAAUUAAAUAUUUUAUUAAGAUUAUACAAUGAGUGUUGUAAUCUCCAUUUGGUGCUUGACACUAACUGGUGGUGCCUCAUUACUGUAUCUCUGAGAAAUAUGGAAAUUAGUAGGGAAACAUGGAAACCAAUUAAGUAUAUGAGUUAUCUAUUCUAUCUCCUAUUUUUAAAUGUUAGGAUAAGGAUUUAAUUUGGGAAAUUAGUUGAGAAAAUGAGAUUGUUUUAGGUAGUACAUAGAUACAGCACCAAAUAACAUUUGAGUCAUAUGGUACAGAAGUUCUUUCAGUUCUUCCUUGAGCCUUCUAAUUAAGUAAAGGAGAAUGUCACAGUUGUGCUGUCAUGUCUUAAUCCCCCUUGUUAAGAAAAAGAAUAGGCUUCAGGCUCAGAACUUCAGAAACAGUAUUUAGCAAGAAUUUUACAGUUUUUUUAAAAAUUGUAUUUUAUUUGAAAAUGAUCCACAUAUCACAAGUGGUACUAACUGUGUAUGUAUAAUAUAUAAAGUUUCAUUUUAUAAUCAAGACAAUCCAAAAUACUGAAUUAUAGGUAGAAUGUGAGUGUACCAGCUAUCAUUGAAGCGUGGUAGAAGGAUGAUAGUAAGAUUCAGUCACUUAAGGAAGGGCCCUAAUAAUCUAUAAUUAUCUCUUUUUUAACUAGAUAGUACUAGAUAAUCUGAAAGUGGCAUUCCUUGCAGUGUAUUUUUUUUUGUACUUUGUUUUUUGUUUUUUUUUUUUAAUGUUUAUUUUUGAGAGAGACAUUCCUUUGUACUUUUUUUAAUUUAAUUUUUUUAUUUUUUAAAGUUUACAUCCAAAUUAGCAUAUAGUGCAACAAUGAUUUCAGGAGUAGAUUCCUUAAUGCCCCUUACCCAUUUAGCCUGUCCCCCCUCCCACAGCCCCUCCAGCAACCCUCAGUUUGUUCUCCACGUUUAUGAGUCUCUUCUGUUUUGUCCCCUUCCCUGUUUUUAUAUUAUUUUUGUUUCCCUUGUGUUCAUCUGUUUUAAAACAGUCUUACCCACAAAUGUAGUCCACAGAACAGCUGCAUUCACAUCACCUGGAACUUGUGAGAAAGGCAAAUUCACGGCCCUUAUCUCAGACCUGAACUAAUCUCAGGUAGUAAGGUUCAGAAAUCUAUGUCAAUAAACCAUCCAGACCAUUAUGUGUGUGCUAAAGUUCAAGACCCUUUGUUUUUAGGAAACAAAAUAGAACUAUGCAUAAAAUAAUUUCCCUUUAGUUCACAGAUCAGUUUUCCUUGUGUCUGCCACACUUGUUUUCAGGAGGUAUAGUCUCAGAACUGAGGUGUGAUUAGGAAAUUUAACUUUUGGGUUUUUUUACAUCCACUUGAAUUCCCAAAACAAUAUUAGACAUGUUUUGCAUGUUGGAAAGAUUGCUUAAAUAUGAUAAUCAGAUCAGUUGAUUGAAUCUAUCACUCAGCUCUUUAAAGAAGUACUUUAGAAGGGAUCAGACACUUGAAUUACGACAGCAGAAGAGCAGAGCUGAUGUGGGGAAAGACAAGAAGCAAGACUGGAUGCGUUGAAAGUUACACUAGAGAAACUGGCAUCACGGUGAAAAGACCGGGGCGUGGCAGCGGAGGUACCCAGCAGCGGCAGCUGGUUUUUAUCUCCCUUCUGUCGGUAAUCCUCUGUUCACCCUCCCCCACCCCAACUCAAUUUCCUAAUUUAUGAUGAAAAACUAUGACCAAUUGGAAGAACAGGAGAAUCAGUAAUCUUUCAUCUGUAGCCAUCCUCAAAACCUCACUGGUUUCAGCAAUGCGUUUUUUCUCUAUACUCUCAUCUCUCAAGCCCAGUUCCCAAACAACCUCCUGCUUUUCCUCCCCUUCCCUGGACUUUUUUUUUUUUUUUUUUCAAAGUCACACACCCAGAUUUCUUUUAGAAACAAAAUUAUUUGAUCUGUCCCUUCUCACCCUUUUCCUGGAAACUUAUGCUGCCUUUAAUCUUGUUACCAAUUUCACUCUUAAUCUUUUAAAAUUUGAUGUCCUAGAAUUAAUGAAUGUCUAGGUUGAAAGGAAUAAUUAUGCAAGGUUAUGCCUCAAAUUCCUCAAAUAAAGACUUUAGAUAGAUAAGUAUCUCAUGAUCAGAAACUUGUAUUGAUGAGGGGGGGAAACAUUUACCUAUUCGGGCAAUAUGCUUCAUCUCCAGACAGGUCACUUCUUUCCUACAGUGAUUUAAAAAUCUAUUUCCCUAUUGUUUAUAUCUAUUGGUCAUGGUUCCAAACAUUGGGAUAGUAUAUAGAGUACAUCUAUUCCCUUACCCAUAUGGCAACUCUAUAUAUUUCCAGGUAACUUCUGUUCCUGAUGGCUUUUUUUGUACUUUAAAAUAAUCCCUUCCUUCAAUGGCUAUUUAAGAGCUAUGAUCUGUAUUUCUUUUAACAUAUGGUACCCACAACUGCAUCUGUUACUUCUAAUCCAUUUAGGUCUUACCAGCACAGUUGGGAUAUCUCCUCCCUUGUAAUUAAUAUAUUAAAAGCCCAUUUUUUAACACUCACAUGACGCUGAGUUGAUAUUUAACUAUGAGCUAAAAAUCCUCUGUCUUUUGUAACUAUGCUGUUUUGCCGCCUUCUUUUCUGUACUCAAAGUUGAGUUGGGUUUGGGGCCCAUAUACAAGGCUAUGCCUUUAUCCCUCUUCAUUUUUCUAAAUUCAUUCCUAGUUCCACCCACUCAGUAUAGUUUUGGUUCCUAAAUCUGGAAUCUCCCAGCUUGUCAUCCACAAAUUUGACAAAGUUGCUGUUUGUAAUUUCCUCCAAGUUACUAAUUAAAAUGUUGAAUGGUACUGGGCCAAGGAAGAGUCUGCAGAAUGCCACAGGCUUCCCCCUUAACUUGACAGAGCUCAACUAAUCAUCACUAUUUAGGUACAACUAUGCACCUACUCACUAAUGAAUAUAAUGGAAAUAUUCUCAAAGUGUUAUAUAUUAUCAUAAAAGACUAUGUAAUCUACACGUUUAACCAAAAUAAUAUCUCUUUCCAGGUCAGUUUUUAGAGCGUUGGCUUAUUUUUUUCAUCUAAAAUGUGUGUUUCAAUGUAAGCAUACUUUUGUUGGGUGUUUGGGGGAUAAGUACAUUAAAUAUUAAAAAGGAACUUGUCUCCUGUCCUUACAUAGAAACAAUAUGGUAUUGUUCAGGCUCUGCUUAUGAAAUCUAGGUGCAAGGCACUGUACUGUGCCCACAAAAUCUCAUGAUUUAAGUAGACCAGCUGUAUAAAGAAUCCCCAAAUUCAACAUCUGAAGAAAAUAAAAAUUAAAGACUAACGAGAAGACAACCUUAAAAUAGGUAUAAGUAAUACCCUUAGAGAGAUUUGAGUGGGAAUAUCUUUAAAAGUAGAAGUUGCUAUGACGUAGACACAAAAUAAAAUCUAGAAAAAUUUCAAGCUAUGAUCUUCAAAAUAGUAACCCAGCAACUGUUUCUUCUUGAAAAACGUCCCACUUCUCACUCCCACUUCUCAUUCCUAGGGAGUUUGUUGUGGUAGAAAACGGAGAGCUCUGAGAGAUUUCCCCUAGGGAAGAGGAGUCUGCCAGGUGAAGGAAGAUGAGAGUGAGUGAGGCCAGUAUUAUUGGAGGUGGUGACUGAGGACAAGGGAGCUGUGAGCUGAAGCCAAAAUAGUAGGCAGAGGCCAGAAUCACACAGGACUUUGGGGAAGAGUUUGGGUGUCAUGAUAUGUGUAAUGGAAGCCACUAGAUAAAUUCAAGCAGAGAAAUGAUAAUGACGUCUUGUGGUUGAUAUGUUUGAAGAUUACUAAAGAUGACUGGAGAGGGGCUAGAGCAGGGAGAGCCAUUUAAGAGACUGUUCAGUAGAUGAUGCCUUGACUACAGUGGAUAGAAAUGGCCUGAUUUCAAAAUUGAACUGCUGGAAUUUAAUACAUUUUUUUUUAAUUACUGUAAAGAAAUGCCCUGUCAUUCAAUGCCAGACUUCACCUUUCUGAAAUAGAAAUGUAUCAUGUCACACCUGUUUAAUCUUCAAGGGUCCCCCAAAUAUCCACAGGGGAGAGGCCAAUCUCCUGAUGGCAAGAAACCAUUUAAGUUAGCAGCUAUGUAGCUUUUCAGGCCCUGCUUCUAGCAUCACCCUGUCUAUGCCCUAAACUUCAGCUACACCAGACUACUUUUUUGUUUGCGUUUUUGUUUUGUCAUUGCCUUGUGUGUGCUGUGAACUUUACCUGGAAUACCACUUACUCUUCCUCUCAUGCACCCCAUGGACACUGAGUCAUCAUUCCCAACCAUAAGGACACUCUCGUAAAAUCCCAGACAGGUUAGUUCCUGCUUCUUUCAUGAGCUCAUUGCAGCCCAAGUGAUUUUUUCAUUGAGUUCUGACGUUUUGCAGCAGACUGAGAGCCCUGAGGGCAAGGACUAGGCUUUGUUAUUUGUGUUCCUAGAACUAUGCCUCCUGAGUUCUUUAACUGCUUUUUGAAAUGAAUAAAUGGGUGGAUCAUGCUGAAAAUUGACUCAUAGUGUAUUCCCUCAGUGACACCAUUUCAAAACUUUCUCCUGGAUAUCCUUCAACCAUUCUUUACGUUAUUAUGGUUUGAGUCAAAAGUUGUUUUUGUCAUUCUCUUGUGUCAUCUCAUGAAUAGCAUCAUUUUUUUUUUCUUUUCACCAACCCACAGGAAUGUUCCAGCACAAAAUGGCUGGUCGUUUUUCUUUCUGCUGUGGUAAACAUGUCACACUCAGUAAUGGAGAACCAGCAGAAGACAAGCAAGACAAGGACCAAGAAGAAAAAGUCCAAAUUAAGCAUAAUAUUGUACUAACUGGCAUCUGUCUCAUAGUGGGAUAUAUGAGGCUCGGGCACACUUGUAUCACCCACAGAGGUUCUUAGGCUUUUCCUGAAUGUUUGAGCUAUUACUAGACUUUUUUCACUGUUUGGGGCUUCAUAUUAUGGAAAGCGCCACCCAGUAGUCAAGGACAAGCUAUGCAUACAUCUUGGAAGCAUUUUGUGGAUUUACUGUCUUCAUCUGACUUUCGUCAUCUUUACUCAUUGAGCCAAUAGGAUAGACAGCCCAUAAAGACAAUCACAUUUAUGAAAUUUGUUACCACACCUCUUUGGACAAAUUGUGAGUCGCUUAUGAGGAAGGGAAAUGGAUCGUGACUGCCUGCAUAUGUAAGUAUAUUACUUUUCCCUUCAGACUCAUAAAAUCUUAUUCUAAUCAGGGAGACUUUGUAGGCUAUUUUAAAGCCCUGCCAACCUAAUACUUCAAAUUUAGCUGACGACUAGUCUAUUUGUGGAAAAUAGUCAUUUGUAUUUCUGAUAAUACUAGAUUUUUUAACUUGGGGCCUUCAUCUCCCUGAAAGUUACAUUCAUUUAUUUCAUAUUGAUUUUACAAAUUUUAUGAAAAAUAACUGGUAACUCCAGGUUCAUCACCCACUAACAGUUCAUGAACCUGGACUGAUAGUUUAAUUCUGUUCCCUUCUAUUCAGUUAUGAGCCUUCUACACAUUAGAAACUGUGGGGACGUAGAAAUAGGGUCUUCCACAAUUAGCAUAUAUAUCCUAGUGAGAGCAUAAGACACAUAAAGAACAGCAUAAGCAAAAAUGACAUUCCAUCAGAAAAGUAUAAACAAGUGCCAUAAAAUUUCAAAAGUGAGGGAGCUCACAUUUGCACUGGGGGUCAGGAGAAGUUUCUUAAAGAAGGUCACUAUCAAGAUAGACUUUGCAACACUGGAUUUUGGCAAACACAAGGGCGUGUACAGUAGAGGAUGCCAUCUGUAGAAAAGAGCCAAGCAAAGGUCUGAGGACAGGUAAACAAGAGAGGUCUUCUGUGGGAAUGUCCUCCCUAAGGGGUGCGACAGGUGAACUCCACUUUUCCCACAUAUGCAGAAGAGAAGCCUGGUGAGAUGCAGGGAGGUGCUGCGACCAAGUUCUACUUCAGGAUCAUUUUCCGAACUCAUCAAGCCACUUUCACCAUGGGUUGUAGAUAGAUAGGAAAAUAAAAGUAGAUCAAGUUUGAAAACUACCGUGUAAACGUAAAGUGUAGGAUUUUUGUUUUUUUAAACAAUGGACUUUUAUCCUGUGGAGAGUCCUUCCUGAACCCUGAUUCUUGUGAGGGCCCAUGCCUCAGAUGUGAGCAGCACGUUGUAUUUCACUCACUACACUCAUUCUUUCUAUAGGAACCAUAGCAUUUACUAACUGCAUGAGUGUGAAGUAGGAAAGCUGAGUGAAGGAUAUCUUCAUGUACGCGAAGAUCUUGAUGUCCAUCUUAAUUAUAUCGAUGAAUGGCUAUUUUGUUUUUAAAGUGUCCGUUUCUGUAUCCAUGCCCGUUGUGACCACCCUUUAUUUGCUGACCAAUGUGGCUUACAAUGUCAUCUUACAUAUACCUUCUUUCCUGAAGCUAUUGCUGUGACAUUUGGUAAUAAGGUCCAAAGCCAUGUUCAGGGACUAAUUCCUAUUACAGUGGCCAUGGCUUGUGUCAGUGAACUGAACUCAAUCAGUCAUUACAGCAUCCAGAAAUGCCAAUUGCUAUGUUUGCAGAGCAUCUAACUGAUGGCAGCCAAAGCCUCUCAUUCUUCACACCCAGUUUUCAGGCUCCUUUAUGUGGGCCCAAAGGAAGGGCACCUUCCCUUUGGUUUAAGCAUGAUCCCUGUGGAAUGAUUCACACUGGUCCCUGCUCUUCUCUCCAAACUAAGACUCUUCUUUCCUGUAGUGUAUUGCUUGUGUACCCUCUCUAUGAGACACAGUCAACUCCUCAAUUGGAAUUGCAAUUUAUCUGGAAUUCCUGCAUGUUUCUUAAGAGUAUAAUUAUCAGCAAAAAUGACCUUCAAAUUUACAAAGACUAUGGCCAUGGCUGACUGAGAUCUGGAAGUGACAUAGACUAAAGAGAGGUUGUUAAACGACGGCAGGAGAACAGUUGCUCAAAGGUGUCACCAGGAAGCAAGGAGAGAGACAUUUCCCUGGUACUUUUCAGUGAUGUUCAGGAGUGAGGAUUAUAUCUGAGAUUACAUUAGAAAAAGAGAAGGUCGGGAGGAGCCAAGAUGGUGGAACAGCAUGGAAUUGUAUUUUUUGCAUCUUGCAUCCAUGAAAUACAGCCAGAUCAACACUAAACCUUCCUGCUCACCUAGAAAACUGAUCUGAGGAUUAACACGACAAUCUGCACAACAUGAACCAAAGAACUCAGCAGCAAAUACCACUGGACAGCAUACAACAUAAUUACUUCCUUGUGUUCGCUGCCUCCCUCUCCUCACUGCAGAAAUUCUGCAAAGGCCUUGCCAUCAAAAUCAGAAGCCGGCUGGAGGAAGUGAGCCGUGGACAGGCGGGAAGCUAACUUGUGAAGCCAAGCCGGUCCCUGUGCUGUCUAACGCUGAUACUGACACGUGGCCCAGGCUGCAUACGGUCACUUUUCAAACAAAGUGUACCAACUCGCCCCAGAUCACGCAGCCAGCAAGGGUCACAGCCAGGACAUGAACCCAGCAGUGUGACUCUGGAUCCCUAGCUCCUGUCACUGCUGACUCUUCCUUCAGGCCUCUAUCUGCAACUACAAAUAGCAUAGACUGUCCGCAAGCACUUUCUUGGCAAAACCAGUUUGGAAACUUUUAUCUUACCGGUGAUUCUAAUAUGCAGCCAUGCUUGAGAAGUGCUACUCUGGUAUAUGUGAAAAAGAGAAGGCUUUUCUUACUCUUGCUCCCAGGUAGUCUGCCCAAUACCUCAUCAUGUUUGCUCCAUGCUCAUGUCAGUUCGGGACUCCAAAACCACAGAUCGCCUCCACAGAAAUCGUGGGACCUCUCCCAGUCCCCAAACUGGUAGAGAACGGUAAGACAGGCUUAUUUGUCCUCUGCUGUCCCAUCCCCAGGUUCCCCACAGCACCAACAAAUAAGACUGGAUGUGGGGGUCAGAUGACUGAAAAGUUUAUGGUAGAACAUGACAAGGUAAGAGGAAGGGUUUUAAAGAGAGGGGAGGAACAACAUGGUUGGAAUCAAUUGCCUAAUAAUUUUUUUAAGAAUAAGGCUAAUGUUCUAUUUUAAACUUUGGCAUUGUUGUGAUAGAAAAUAUACGGUGUCUCCAAAUCUUCUGUUUCAUUUGUGUGCCUGGCACAUUUUUGGUACACAAUACAUAUCUGUUAUAUGAAUGAAUGGAUCAGGUCAGGUGGGUUGAACACAAAGCAAUGAGCCCCAAACCCAUCCUUGCCCAAUUCCCCCGAUCUUGUUCC